UGCUUAGCUUCCGAGAUCGGGCGUGCUCAGGGUGGUAUGGCCGUAAGCGAGUACAGCACUCAAGAGCGAGCUAUUUAAAGAAGACACACCGGCAGUACGCCUUCACG